rnacentral:rRNA from 1 species
UGUGCUAAUACCGCAUAAUCUCUCAGGAGAAAAGCAGGGGAUCGCAAGACCUUGCGCUUUAGGAGCGGCCGAUGCCUGACUAGCUUGUUGGUAAGGUAAAAGCUUACCAAGGCUUCGAUCAGUAGCUGGUCUGAGAGGACGACCAGCCACACUGGGACUGAGACACGGCCCAGACUCCUACGGGAGGCAGCAGUGGGGAAUUUUGGACAAUGGGGGAAACCCUGAUCCAGCCAUGCCGCGUGAGUGAAGAAGGCCUUCGGGUUGUAAAGCUCUUUCAGCCGGAACGAAACGGU